rnacentral:rRNA from 1 species
CCUACGGGAGGCAGCAGUGGGGGAUAUUGGACAAUGGGGGAAACCCUGAUCCAGCGACGCCGCGUGAGUGAAGAAGUAUUUCGGUAUGUAAAGCUCUAUCAGCAGGGAAGAAAGAAAUGACGGUACCUGAGUAAGAAGCCCCGGCUAACUACGUGCAAGCAGCCGCGGUAAUACGUAGGGGGCAAGCGUUAUCCGGAAUUACGGGGUGUAACGGGAGCGUAGACGGUAAUGCAAGUCUGGAGUGAAAGGCGGGGGACCAACCCCCGGACUGCUCUGGAAACUGGGUAACUGGAGUGCAGGAGAGGCAGGCGGAAUUCCUAGUGUAGCGGUGAAAUGCGUAGAUAUUAGGAGGAACACCAGUGGCGAAGGCGGCCUGCUGGACUGUAACUGACGUUGAGGCUCGAAAGCGUGGGGAGCAAACAGGAUUAGAUACCCGUGUAGUC